UUAAACCCCCCGUCCCUUUGCAGGUUAUUCACCAAUGUCCUUCGCUGUUCUACAAACGUGAAUAUUAUUGUGGAAGCCUGAAUCGUUUCACGAAUGCAUAUUUUCAGCCCUUUCUGCUCCAAACACAGCCCAAAGUACAUCUUUAUUCGUCCACUUGCGUGCUGCGAGAGGCAACAAGAUCCAUGAGGCGAGAUGUGAAGUCGCUAUUUGGGACUUAGAGCAGCAUGAAGACGAGAACUGGACAAAAGCAGUCAGCGUGGUUUGGAGGGUGGAAGAGGAGCCCGAUGAAUUGGAAGAGCGUGCGGAGGGCUCACAUGGAGCUGAAUGGGAUGACAACAAGGAGCGGUUCCACAAGCGAAGCGAGCGGCGCGCCGAUGAGGAUCAUCCGUCCACGAGCUGCCUGAAAAUGCCGAACAGGAGGGGCCAGAGUAUUGAGCUUUGCGUUGCGCCUCGUGGUCGGGGGGGGGGAGGGGUUGUCAAUAUCUGAUGGGAACGGUGGCAGUGGUGGCCGGUGCGCUUGGAGCCGGUGGUGGAACCCGUGCCUUUGUGGGGACUCGGGCGCUCUUUGGCAAGGCGUGUUGGAGAUGGUCAGCUAGUUGUUUGGCUUGUCUGGAUCCAGAGCAACUUUGUGGCGUUUGUCAGUUGGGAAGCUGCUUUGUGGGCGACAGUGUAGGCAGGGUUGGAGGAAGGGCUCUGUCAUACCGUCAAGGAAAAACAUUUUGUCUGUGUUUCAGGGUCGCGCAGGCACCGGACCGCAUGAGGGGGGUCGCAAGAGGAUCUCGGACCAGGUUGCGCGCGUUGGACAAAGCGUCAAACUGUCAAGUAUGCGAAGCCGACAAACGUCAUUUGCUGAAUUGAGGUUUCUUUUGAAAGUGAAACAGCAGAGCCAUCGAACUCGCCGCCUUCCUGUCCAGUUGGAUCCCAGGUAAACUCCAGCCACCACCUAAAAGUCUUGGGGCGGUUUUGUCAGCGUCAACCCCCAUUUUUGACCCGAGUUUUCUGUCUCAAACGGCAUCUGAGUGCUGUACAUGAGACGGACGAACGGCCCAAGCUCCAGACGAAGAGGCUGAUGGGGCGCUUC